rnacentral:rRNA from 1 species
AGCGAACGUUGGCGGCGCGCCUAAUACAUGCAAGUCGAACGCGAAAAGUCUUCGGACUGAGUAGAGUGGCGUACGGGUGAGUAUCACGUGAGUAAUCUGCCCUCGGGCUUGGGAUAACCCGCCGAAAGGUGGGCUAAUACCAGAUGAGACCACGGCCUCUUCGGAGGCAGUGAGAAAAGAUGGGGACCGGAAACGGCCUGUCACCGGAGGAUGAGCUCGCGGCCUAUCAGCUUGUUGGUGGGGUAAUGGCCUACCAAGGCUACGACGGGUAGCUGGUCUGAGAGGAUGAUCAGCCACACUGGAACUGAGACACGGUCCAGACUCCUACGGGAGGCAGCAGUAGGGAAUCUUGCGCAAUGGGCGAAAGCCUGACGCAGCGACGCCGCGUGUGCGAUGAAGGCCCUUGGGUCGUAAAGCACUGUCAACAGGGACGAAAACUCGUCGGUUAAUACCCGAUGGGCUUGACGGUACCUGUAGAGGAAGCACCGGCUAACUCUGUGCCAGCAGCCGCGGUAAUACAGAGGGUGCAAACGUUGCUCGGAAUUACUGGGCGUAAAGAGCG